AGCUUUCUUUUUUUUUUUUUGUAACAGAAAUCAUCAUCAUUAUCAUCAUCAUCAUCAUCAUCAUCAUCAGUCAUACCUCGAACAAGGAUGUAGGGAAGACCAAGGGAAUAAUGAAUAUAAGCCCUUGCUUCAUGUACUGCUUGGCACAGAGUAACUCCAUAAAUGCUAGUUUUGUUUGCUCCUUCUGUAUUUUAAGACUAACACACAUUGAGAUUUUAACAAGUAUUUGUUAAAUUGACUUGAUCCUUUACUUGAGUUACAAUACUGAAAAUAAUUUCAUUGGACAGAACCUCUACUCUUAUCAGUCUGUGCAUCCAGUGACACAUUGACAAGUUAUCUUUUCAGAUACUGAUACAUUUGUGACAAUAAAUAUACUGGCAUUGCACCUGUUCAGGUAUCUCUUAUACACACCAGAAAUGUGUAUGUACCAUCAAAGUAUUCUUGGUUAUCAAAGUACUAAUAAUUCAAUAUGAUGGAAAGAUGUUUGAUCUCAUUCACACCUUUGGGUUCAAAUUCUAGCUCUCCACUUACUUAUCAGUUAUGUGAUUGAGGCAAAUGUUACAAGCUGGUUAAUAUUACCUGCUCACAGGUUUGUUAUGAGGAAAUAAGAAAACAUGGAAAGAGCUUGUUCUUGGUUUUGUCAUUGCUUGGGUAACUUUUCUUUCUCUUUCUUUCUUUUCUUUUUUUGGCCUGGAAAUAGAACCCAGGGGUGCUUUACCACUGAGUUGCUUGUUUUUAUUUUUUUCUUUUGAGGCAAGAUCUCAUUAAGUUGCAGAAGCUAGCUUUGGACUUAUGAUCCUCAUACUUUAGUCUUCUAAGUCUCUGGAAUUAUUGGCAUGGGCCACGAUGCCCAAGAGUCUCAAGUAACUUUUCUAUCAAGGUCAAAAUGUAGUUGGUAUCCACAGUUCUCUCCACAGCUUUCUGAUUCUA
rnacentral:lncRNA from 1 species